CCACAAACAAUUGGCAAACACCAACCUAACUUGCUGCCAUGUCUUACGCCAAACCGAAAAGACAGACGGAGAAGCACAAUUUUUCGCUCCAAAACAGAGUGCGCUCAAAGAACCCUCCCAGGCAGAGGGAAGCCAAGAUGGCGCAGACGACGCCCAUGAGACAGCUCCCUGCGCGAGUACCGAUCAGGGACCUCUAACCCAAGAAAUAAUGCAAGGUAUGCUGGAC